rnacentral:lncRNA from 1 species
GCUGCCAUCAGAGACUGGGAGACUGAGGCAAGCAGAGUCACAUCCUGAUGAGAGGGAGCAGCUCCUCUGCUCGCAGCCUGGUGCUUGGCCCACCCCAGUUACUUUGCAUGGGCUGUGCAGAGUGGCUUUCCAACACCCACUGACUCAGCUGUGAGGCUUAACAGAUGUGGCAGAACUGAAGCAUGGAAAGUCUGUCCACAGGAGAAACGUAUCAGCUAUCUUGAGACAUCAGAUGCCAACAGCUAUGAACCUCACUCCUCUUCUGAUACCUGCCUUGGGAAAAGCAUGUGAAAGCAGACUGAAGUUUUUAAGUGACCAUGGAUGAGGAAGCCCUACAGUACCGGUGUGCUACUCCUUUUCCCAGAGAUCUGCCAUUUUUCUGCACCGGCAGGAGAGUCUGUGGCCUUUGGAAAUGAAUCACCUUUAAAAAGGAAUGAUGACCAGGAUGACCUGAAGCAGGUGAAGAGGCAGUCAGCCCGCUCACUUUUUCCUUCUGUGCAGUGUCAUCACAAAACUCUUCACUGUUUUUUCAUCUGCUGUGACCACACAGUUAAGAAAGGCUCGUCAGCCCUCGCCAAGCCCAUCACCUAA